UCAAGUUUGCGUAUAAAAGCUGAAAAACAUGUUUUACUGUUUAAAUCAACUAUCAGCUCGUGACAGUAUCAUAUACUUAAUAUCUUCAAGUAAAAAGUAAAACAGACAAUGAUGGUUUCCGUUUGUUUUAUCGUCUCUCUUUUGUUGGUGUUUGCUGGAGUCAACAUGGCAACUGAGGAAAUGCUGAAAGACAAUGGACUUCGUCAGAAGCUAGUGAAAAGAAGUCCGGGAUGCUUUAGAAGCCGUUGUCCUUGCUGUCCUGGUUAUACCUGCAUUUCUGGACGCUGCCGUCUACAUUAAGACAUAUGAGUUCGGACAUCCAUCAUUUACAAUUCCCAACAUACAUGAAGCGACAGACUUAGGGAACAGUUGUUACUUAAAAU